UACGGGGGGGCAAGCGUUGUUCGGAAUUACUGGGCGUAAAGGGUCUGUAGGUGGCCAAUUAAGUCAGACGUGAAAUCCCUCAGCUUAACUGGGGAACUGCGUCUGAGACUGGAUGGCUCGAGUGCAGGAGAGGAAUGCGGAAUUCCAGGUGUAGCGGUGAAAUGCGUAGAUAUCUGGAGGAACACCGGUGGCGAAGGCGGCAUUCUGGACUGCAACUGACACUGAAAGACGAAAGCCAGGGAGCAAACGGG
rnacentral:rRNA from 1 species